UCUCAAUUUCUCUGUCACCUGGAAACUAUCACUUGGCCUGUUUCUGAGAUAUAGCUGACAUAUAAUUUAAGGAUCACUGACCAGAACCAAAUCCAGCCGGCCGCUGGAGGAAGAAGCCCUCCUCUCAGCUUUAUAACAAGAUCAGGUGAUGCUCAUGACUUCAGUAUGUGGACGGGCCAUGAAGCCUUGACUAAGGCCACCUACUAAAGGGUUAGGGUGGUAUGGUGCCACCCCAAAACAGAGUCAAGGUCUCGCUAAGUUGCCCAGGCUGGUGGUGUACUUUUGGCCUUAAGGAAUCCUCCUGCCUCAGCCUCUCGAAGUGUUGGGAUUACAGGCAUGAGCCAAUGGCCUGGCCUGUCUUUCUUAUUCAUGAACCCCAGAGUAACCUUGAAAACUGAGUUCUCUACCAUGAGAGGAUGGGAGGUCAGACACGCCUCACUGCACCUCCUCCCUUGCUAACCUGGAAGAGGCUUUCUUCUCUAAGGGCUGAACAGAAACCAGCGCUUUCAAGAGUCC
rnacentral:lncRNA from 1 species